rnacentral:other from 2 species
ACAGAGCUGGGCGACGCGUCAGAUCAUCUUGUCCCCGGGGCCGAUGCACCUUGCACGGGAGCUGCCUCUGUCAGAGCCGAGGUUUUGUUACGCGGCGCCCACCUGACUUAUGUCGGGCCGCAGGUGGACUACUCGAUCAACGGUCGUCUGGCUCCCUU